rnacentral:rRNA from 1 species
GAUGAACGCUGGCGGCGUGCCUAAUACAUGCCAGUCGAGCGAACGGACGAGAAGCUUGCUUCUCUGAUGUUAGCGGCGGACGGGUGAGUAACACGUGGAUAACCUACCUAUAAGACUGGGAUAACUUCGGGAAACCGUAGCUAAUACCGGAUAAUAUUUUGAACCGCAUGGUUCAAAAGUGAAAGACGGUCUUGCUGUCACUUAUAGAUGGAUCCGCGCUGCAUUAGCUAGUUGGUAAGGUAACGGCUUACCAAGGCAACGAUGCAUAGCCGACCUGAGAGGGGGAUCGGCCACACUGGAACUGAGCCACGGUCCAGACUCCUACGGGAGGCAGCAGUAGGGAAUCUUCCGCAAUGGGCGAAAGCCUGACGGAGCAACGCCGCGUGAGUGAUGAAGGUCUUCGGAUCGUAAAACUCUGUUAUUAGGGAAGAACAUAUGUGUAAGUAACUGUGCACAUCUUGACGGUACCUAAUCAGAAAGCCACGGCUAACUACGUG